GGCUCUUUUUUCUUCUUCUUCGCAUUCAAACAACUGCAAGUCUCACCUCGAAAACAAGAUCCUAUGUGUGAAGAGUAAGACCUUACAAACCAACAAGAUGAACUCAACUAAGCAAGUAUUCGUCCUGGUAGCUUUGCUGCUAGUACUGUCCAUGUUUCUUGACGGGAACGAAGCGUCCGUGGCUGUUCCUGGGUCUCCGUUUGGAAAGCGAGGCGGCGCAAGUAAGGCAGCUUCUCGUGCACAUGCGCACAUCUGUGAGGCAGCCAAACUCGUUCAGUGUCAACCAAACGACGAACCUGCCCGAACAGAUAUCGAUUGAUAACCUUAUCAGGCCCUUGGUUGAGACCUAUAAGACACAACACAAGAGAAACUCGGUUAAUUGCUGGCGAUUAAAUAGUUAGCUGGAAUCUACUAAGGCUAUGUCAGCCAUGAUAGUUUGUCCAGUGGAGUAGCCUGCUGGUUAAAUAAAUAUUGUCAGAAAUGAAAAA